rnacentral:miRNA from 1 species
UAGAGUGCCCAUCUGUCCUGGUUUGCCUGGGACUGAGGGGUUUCCUGGAAUGUGAGAUUUCAGUAUGAAACUAG